UACGAGGGGAGCAAGCGUUGUUCGGAUUUACUGGGCGUAAAGGGCGCGUAGGCGGCGUGACAAGUCGCUUGUGAAAUCUCCGGGCUUAACCCGGAACGGUCAAGUGAAACUGUCGUGCUAGAGUACAGAAGGGGCAACUGGAAUUCUCGGUGUAGCGGUGAAAUGCGUAGAUAUCGAGAGGAACACCUGCGGCGAAGGCGGGUUGCUGGGCUGAUACUGACGCUGAGGCGCGAAAGCCAGGGGAGCGAACGGG
rnacentral:rRNA from 1 species